rnacentral:rRNA from 1 species
UACGGGGGGGGCAAGCGUUGUUCGGAAUUACUGGGCGUAAAGGGCGCGUAGGCGGCCUGCUAAGUCGGAUGUGAAAUCCCCAGGCUUAACCUGGGAACUGCAUCCGAUACUGGAUGGCUUGAAUCCGGGAGAGGGAUGCAGAAUUCCAGGUGUAGCGGUGAAAUGCGUAGAUAUCUGGAGGAAUACCGGUGGCGAAGGCGGCAUCCUGGACCGGCAUUGACGCUGAGGAGCGAAAGCUAGGGGAGCAAACGGG